AGCAGUGGGGAAUUUUGGACAAUGGGCGCAAGCCUGAUCCAGCCAUGCCGCGUGAGUGAAGAAGGCCUUCGGGUUGUAAAGCUCUUUCGGCCGGGAAGAAAUCGUGUUCUCUAACAUAGGACAUGGAUGACGGUACCGGACUAAGAAGCACCGGCUAACUACGUGCCAGCAGCCGCGGUAAUACGUAGGGUGCGAGCGUUAAUCGGAAUUACUGGGCGUAAAGCGUGCGCAGGCGGUUUUGUAAGACAGAUGUGAAAUCCCCGGGCUUAACCUGGGAACUGCGUUUGUGACUGCAAGGCUAGAGUACGGCAGAGGGGGGUGGAAUUCCUGGUGUAGCAGUGAAAUGCGUAGAGAUCAGGAGGAACACCGAUGGCGAAGGCAGCCCCCUGGGCCUGUACUGACGCUCAUGCACGAAAGCGUGGGGAGCAAACAGGAUUAGAUACCCUGGUAGUCCACGCCCUAAACGAUGUCGACUAGUCGUUCGGAGCAGCAAUGCACUGAGUGACGCAGCUAACGC
rnacentral:rRNA from 1 species